rnacentral:rRNA from 1 species
UACGGGGGGGGCAAGCGUUGUUCGGAAUUACUGGGCGUAAAGGGUUUGUAGGUGGCUGGCUAAGUCAGACGUGAAAUCCCUCGGCUCAACCGGGGAACUGCGUCUGAGACUGGUCAGCUCGAGUGCAGGAGAGGAGCGCGGAAUUCCAGGUGUAGCGGUGAAAUGCGUAGAUAUCUGGAGGAACACCGGUGGCGAAGGCGGCGCUCUGGACUGUAACUGACGCUGAGGUGCGAAAGCCAGGGGAGCAAACGGG